CCAAAGGAAUAAGUGAAGCUGUCAGCAUGAUCUAGCUUUGGAUGGCUCAAAGGAUCCAUAUUAAUUACCAAUUAACCUCAGCCAACCUUACCUAGGUCAUGCCCUGACAGCCUCACUCCUUCCUGUU